rnacentral:rRNA from 1 species
GACGAACGCUGGCGGCGUGCCUAACACAUGCAAGUCGAACGAGGUCCAUCCUUCGGGAGAAGACCUAGUGGCGAACGGGUGAGUAACACGUGAAGAACCUGCCCCGAAGACCGGGAUAACCCUCCGAAAGGAGAGCUAAUACCGGAUACCCCCACCGAACCGCAUGGUUUGGUGAGGAAAUGGAUUCCGCUUCGGGAGGGCUUCGCGGCCUAUCAGCUAGUUGGUGGGGUAAACGGCCCACCAAGGCAUCGACGGGUAGCUGGUCUGAGAGGACGAUCAGCCACACUGGGACUGAGACACGGCCCAGACUCCUACGGGAGGCAGCAGUGGGGGAAUCUUGCGCAAUGGCGAAAGCCUGACGCAGC